AUUCCAUAAUGUUACUUCGGCAGAAUUCGUUCUGCAGCGGUACAUUAUCCCCCUAUCAACUGUUUAAAACACGUGCUUCACAGAGCACUGAGUCAAAGCUGCACCCUUGGUUUGUAAACGGCAUGUAUCCCUGUACAGCAUGUGUUCUGCACUGUUCUGCAAAUACUACACACAAUUAUUAUACGACGGCACAAACAGAGUUCCGCAGAGUUCUGCACGUUCUGCAAGUUCCGCAAAAUACCCACACCCA
rnacentral:lncRNA from 1 species